rnacentral:rRNA from 1 species
UGAGGAAUAUUGGGCAAUGCCCGCAAGGGUGACCCAGCAACGCCGCGUGGAGGAUGAAUGUCGUAAGAUUGUAAACUCCUGCUAGAGGGGAAGAAUAGUACCGGUUGGACCGGUAUAUGACUGUACCCUCAGAGAAAGCCCCGGCUAACUACGUGCCAGCAGCCGCGGCAAUACGUAGGGGGCAAGCGUUGUCCGGAUUUACUGGGUGUAAAGGGCGCGCAGGCGGGAUAAAAAGUCAGUGGUGAAAUCCUACAGCUUAACUGUAGAACUGCCUUUGAUACUUUUACUCUUCAGUUCGGGAGAGAGAGACGGAAUUCCAGGUGUAGUGGUGAAAUACGUAGAUAUCUGGAAGAACACCAGUUGCGAAGGCGGUCUCUUGGUCCGACACUGACGCUGAGGCGCGAAAGCGUGGGGAGCAAACA